rnacentral:rRNA from 1 species
GACGAACGCUGGCGGCGUGCCUAAUACAUGCAAGUCGAACGAACCGCGACUGAGUGCUUGCACUUGGUCAAGGUGAGUGGCGAACUGGUGAGUAACACGUGGGUAACCUACCUCAUAGUGGGGGAUAUCAGUCGGAAACGACUGCUAAUACCGCAUAGGACAUAGGAUCACAUGAUCCAGUGAGGAAAGGUGGCGCUAGCUCUCGCUAAGAGAUGGACCCGCGGUGCAUUAGCUAGUUGGUAGGGUAAAGGCCUACCAAGGCGAUGAUGCAUGGCCGACCUGAGAGGGUGAUCGGCCACAUUGGGACUGAGACACGGCCCAAACUCCUACGGGAGGCAGCAGUAGGGAAUCUUACGCAAAGGACGCAAGUCUGACGGAGCAACGCCGCGUGAGUGAAGAAGGUCUUCGGAUCGUAAAGCUCUGUUGUUAGAGAAGAACAGCGCAUAGAGUAACUGCGAUGCGUGUGACGGUAUCUAACCAGAAAGCCACGGCUAACUACGUG